rnacentral:misc_RNA from 1 species
GUGAAUCAUCGAAUUUUUGAACGCACAUUGCGCUUCCUGGUAUCCCGGGGAGCAUGCCUGUUUGAGGGUCAGUAUUAAUAACAAGUCGGGUUAGUUACAAAUUGUGUCGUUUCCGGAGUUUGGGCUAUCUUGACAUUUUGGGUUAAGAGGCUUAAAAUUGACCUUUGUUGCGCAUUUUUAAACGUACACAAUUUUAUUUUAUUCGUCGAUUCUUAAUGCCCAAUUCUUAUU